CGAUAAGAACUCUUUCAAAAUGAGCAGCGCCUUAGUCAUCCUUCUGCUUCUCUCUCUCCAGAUCACUGGAUCAGCAUGUCAAGCUAAUUCGACGAGCACACAAGUUCCUGCCUGGGGUAUCGCACUCCUGGUCCUGGCGUCUGUCUCUGUGGUGGCCAUUAUCGUGGGCUGCUUUUUUGUAAUCGCCUUUCGGAGAACCUAGCAGAUAGAACACAGAAGAUGAGUCUGUUCCACAUAAUUACCAAACCAACUUU